UGGGGAAUAUUGCGCAAUGGACGAAAGUCUGACGCAGCGACGCCGCGUGUGGGAUGAAGCCUUUCGGGGUGUAAACCACUGUUGCCCGGGACGAAACUCUCCUUUCGAGGAGAUUGACGGUACCGGGUGAAGAAGCUCCGGCUAACUUCGUGCCAGCAGCCGCGGUAAUACGAAGGGGGCUAGCGUUGUUCGGAAUUACUGGGCGUAAAGCGCGCGCAGGCGGCUAUCCAAGUCAGUGGUGAAAGCCCGGAGCUCAACUCCGGAACUGCCAUUGAAACUGUUUAGCUAGAGUAUGAGAGAGGUGAGUGGAAUUCCCAGUGUAGAGGUGAAAUUCGUAGAUAUUGGGAAGAACACCGGUGGCGAAGGCGGCUCACUGGCUCAUUACUGACGCUCAGGCGCGACAGCGUGGGGAUCAAACAGGAUUAGAUACCCUGGUAGUCCACGCCGUAAACGAUGAUUGCUAGCCGUUGGACAGCUUGCUGUUCAGUGGCGCAGCUAACGCAUUAAGCAAUCCGCCUGGGGAGUACGGCCGCAAGGU
rnacentral:rRNA from 1 species